rnacentral:rRNA from 1 species
UGGGGAAUAUUGCACAAUGGGCGCAAGCCUGAUGCAGCCAUGCCGCGUGUAUGAAGAAGGCCUUCGGGUUGUAAAGUACUUUCAGCGGGGAGGAAGGUGUUGUGGUUAAUAACCACAGCAAUUGACGUUACCCGCAGAAGAAGCACCGGCUAACUCCGUGCCACCAGCCGCGGUAAAACGGAGGGCGCACGCGUUAAUCGGCAUUACUGGGCGUAAAGCGCACGCAGGCGGUCUGUCAAGUCGGAUGUGAAAUCCCCGGGCUCAACCUGGGAACUGCAUCCGAAACUGGCAGGCUUGAGUCUUGUAGAGGGGGGUAGAAUUCCAGGUGUAGCGGUGAAAUGCGUAGAGAUCUGGAGGAAUACCGGUGGCGAAGGCGGCCCCCUGGACAAAGACUGACGCUCAGGUGCGAAAGCGUGGGGAGCAAACA